CGGCAGAGGCGACGGUGUUUGAAGUUCGUCUGGGAGUUGUUAGGGCGGGGCAGGCGAGCGGAAACGCUCAGACCCUCCUAAGGCAGUGCUGGACGUUAAAGGGUCACACUGCUCCCGAAAAUGUCAAUUCAAAACCUGAGAGAACAAAACUUCACUUUUCAUGUAUUUUGUAGCCUUCUUUCGUUUCCCAGAGAAGGGUGUGCUGAGGAACCCCCCAACGCAAGGCGUGGAGGCAGCUGUCCACCCCGACCCGCAGCCUUUGGACAGAUACGGCCUCACAGCCCCGGCCUGGGCUUGAGGUAUUUCGUUUUUCCUCAGCGAGGGGAUUGCGGAAGGUCUGAGCUCGCCUAGGCGUUAUUGCAUAGAGAGUGAGGGGAACCUGAGGCUCAGAGGUGGAGUGAUAGCAAAGCUGAAGGGUCGUUGACACUGAAGCCCAGAGUCCUCCGUCUCAACGUCCAGAGCGCACCCUGACGCCCGGCAACGUCUGGGUGUGUUUUGCCCCAUCUGCACGGAAGGGAGAACCCAAAUUGCCUGUGAAUUCUGCAGAGCCUCCCCUGACCCAUCCCCUUAUUUCCUUAGUAAUAAUAUGGUCGGUACCUUCCUCUCUUGGGUCACACCCCCUUCGCCCACCCCCACCACCACUCUCUUACCUAGGUUCCUUUAUUCAGACACAAGAAACAGUGCCAACAGCGUGUAUAAAUAUUGUGCUUUAAUGAACUCCUUAAAUAGAAAUGUCACGACAAAAAUAUACAAUUGGAAGAGACAGGGUGUCUCCCAUACCCAUAGAAAACUGUAAAGGAAGAAGUAGAAAUCGGAAUUAAAGGAGCAGCAAGAGGAGGGAGUGUCUCUCAAGAAUGUAAGGGUGUCGGGAACCCUGACGCUGUCAUGAAGAGCAAGAAGGAAGAACUCAGAGAAUUCAAACUCAGCUGGAGACUGCUGGAGGAGCUGCCAGACGCAAUCAAGGAAGAGGAGAAACACUGGGGCCUGAGAAGAGGGAAAUUAAAAGAGGUGUGUCCAGCCCAGCUAGAGGAGGCUCCUCGGAAACUUCAGUCGACUCUGGAGAGGGCGGGAGAGAUGCCCAGCCCCUUAAAGGAGAAUACACACAAUUUUGGAAAAGUGGAGAGGAAGUGGAGGAGCCUAAGAAAGAGAGCAUGAAACAUAUCUCAUGUGAAGGGUCCAGUGGAAAAGUAGGGAGAGAAAUUGAAACAUCUGCAGGAUACAGACACAGGUACAGGGAGAAAAGGCAGCUGCAAGAGUCCUGGUGCCCAAUCUGUCUCCCUCCUCUCCAUCUUCCCAAAGACACUGGAACUAGGAUGCGACUGUCUUUGCCUCUGAGCUGAGGAAAAGUCCCCGGGAGACGGACAUCGUAUGUGGAAGAGAUCGCAGCUACAAAGCAGAUAGAACGGCUAGGCUUGCCUCACCUGGCCAAUCGGACAUUGUCAUUGUCAUCUUUGCCCCACUCCCAGCCCUUUCCAGGGUCCACAGCAAAGUGCAAGGGCAGCAGCUUAUGCUCUGAAUCUGUAAGUGGGAUCACAGCUGGGAAGGAAAGAAACAUGAUCAAGGAGUCUCUUUGAGAAGAGAGGAAGGCAACUGAACACAGACUGACUUCAGUGAAAAGGAGGCUGAACCACACCAAAGGUCUCUAACUGCAGUCACUUCUCAGUUCGUAACAUGUGAAUUACCUUAGCAUUUAAAAACUUAACAGGCAGGUUUUCCCUUGUAACCCAGCACACAAUUUAGGCCACUAAUCUCCAUGACUUCCCACCAGUCAGCUAGCACCCAUGAUGUUCUUGCCAGUUAACGGAGAUUCAGGGAAUUCAAAGUCAUUAUCAAGACAAAUAUAGCAAAGCAUCAUUUGGAAGGUACUAUGAGCUUACUGUAUAAGCUCUUUACUCCAGAGCAGGGAAUACAGGCUGUGUUUUUCUCCAAACCUUUUUUUUUUUUUUAAUUUUAAAACCUCUGUAUAUCUUAUAGCUUAGUAAAACCGUAUCAACAUGCACUGUCUGAGCUUGCAUGUCACUUAAUUCUUUCCUCCUACAUUCUCUCUCAUUUCAGUUUUUCGAAGUGAAAAUAAAGCAGACCAAAAGACACCAGAGACACAGACACUGCAUUCCGCACCUUGUUCCUUGGCAUUCUCCUUCUGUUCCAUGGACACAAGUGCAGAAAAGUGGGCCUGAUCGUAGGCGAGCACCAGAGGGGAGCGGUGACACUGGCUGGCUGGAACCUCCAAGGGCAGAUAGAUUCCCCCAAAGGGAAUAGGGGCAAAUGCUGCAGGAAACCACGGAGGUUAUUAUUAAGGCUAUAUUCUUGCCUAGUGGGAAAUCCCUCCACCCCACUCUGCCAACUGAGCCCCCCUCUCAUUCCAACCCAUGUUUAAUAAUUCUUUCCUAAGAAGCCACAUCAAUUAACCUCAGCUGCUUUACUCUGAAUCUCAUGAGAAUUUUGCCUUGCUCUAAUUUAUACCUUGUUUUUUCCCCAAGGGUCUAUAUAACCCCUUUCCUGCCCUCCUUCCAGUGCUUAGCCCAAGGCUCUGCAGAUAGGGCUGCUCAGGGUACAGUGAGGACUGACUGACUCACCUUCCCCGCCAGAGUCCCUCAGCAUGGUGUCUGCCACAACGACUAUGGGCCUCCUAAGCACAUGGGCAAGGACGAAAACAUGGAAUUCUUCUAGGCUCUCAUACACAGGCUCUUCUGAACUCUCCACCCUAGAGUUGCAGGAGGCGAGAGAGAGGAAGGAGUGCAGUGGAAGGGAGAGGGAAGAAAACAAAACAAGAGACCCAUAAAGACCAGCUCUGCAAAGAGGAAAAAACAAUGUCCCUUCCUUGUUUUCCAGUCUUAAGGCUGCCACA